CCUGAGACUUAUAGAAGAAGCCAAGGAGCUGAGAGCAGCAGAGACAAGAAACAGAGGGAGAGUGAGAAAGUCCAGGGCCAUUCCGCAACUCAAGCAGGAGAAAAACCCAGGAGUGGGGUGGCGUAGGCGGGGCCACCACAAGGAGCCCGUGCAUCAGGGGGCGCAGGCUGUUUCUGGAUCAUUCCACUGGGAAGGGGACAAAACCCAUCUUUUAUGACCCAUGUUCAGUUCUCAGUUGGAGUCAGGUCUUUGGCCUUGAUAGAUUUCAAUAUCCUGUGCAGCUGAUGUCUGACCCACGCAUCAAGAAUACAGCCUUCACACACCUGCCGUGAGAAGCCCUCUAUGACCUUCUGCAGAGGGAGGGAACUGCCUAAGAGCUGCUGAGUGCAGGAAUGCAGGGUGCUAAGAAGUGGGUACCCAGUUUGGGGUUAAAAUAUGUGUAAUAUAUCCAUUUGAAUACCCAUCAAUAAAUAUCAGUCAUGCUCACUUUUGGGUGCUGGGGGUUAUUGGAGAUAUUGAUUCAUUUGUUUUAUGAGUGGUAUUUUCUAAUUUUUCUAUGAUAUAACACUGGUCUAGUAAAGAAAUACAAGUUUUAAAAGCAGUUAUGCACAACACAGUUCCUUUUUUUUUUUGAGAUGGAGUUUGGCUUUUGUCUCCCAGGCUGGAGUGCAAUGGCGUGAUCUCAGCUCACUGCAACCUCUGCCUCCCGGGUUCAAGCAAUUCUCCUGCCUCAGCCUCCCGAGUAGCUGGGAUUACAGGUGCCUGCCACCACACCGGGCUA
rnacentral:lncRNA from 1 species